rnacentral:rRNA from 1 species
UACGGAGGGUGCGAGCGUUAAUCGGAAUUACUGGGCGUAAAGCGCGCGUAGGCGGCUUGUUAAGUCGGAUGUGAAAUCCCCGAGCUCAACUUGGGAACUGCAUUCGAUACUGGCAGGCUAGAGUGUGGUAGAGGAAAGUGGAAUUCCCGGUGUAGCGGUGAAAUGCGUAGAUAUCGGGAGGAACAUCAGUGGCGAAGGCGGCUUUCUGGACCAACACUGACGCUGAGGCGCGAAAGCGUGGGGAGCAAACAGG